AAUAAGCUAAGAGAUAGUCCUGUGUCAGUCACGACCGAUUCGGUCAUUUGACUGAGGUCGCGCAAAAGUACUGAUGAACGAAUCAGUCGUUUUUGACCGAUCCGGUUCAACCAGUCGCCACGAACCGAGAACCACCGAGAACGAAGAA